rnacentral:rRNA from 1 species
CAGCCGCCGCGGUAAUACGGAGGAUCCAAGCGUUAUCCGGAAUCAUUGGGUUUAAAGGGUCCGUAGGCGGUCUUGUAAGUCAGUGGUGAAAGCCCAUCGCUCAACGGUGGAACGGCCAUUGAUACUGCAGGACUUGAAUUAUUGGGAAGUAACUAGAAUAUGUAGUGUAGCGGUGAAAUGCUUAGAGAUUACAUGGAAUACCAAUUGCGAAGGCAGGUCACUAAGAUUUAACUGACGCUGAUGGACGAAAGCGUGGGGAGCGAACAGGAUUAGAUACCCGUGUAGUCCCUGUCUCUUAUAC